rnacentral:rRNA from 1 species
AUGGCUAACAGAGCUCAGAAAAUUAUUACCUCAGUUAUACAUCAGAAUCAGUAUGGGUUUAUCAAAGGUAGAAAUAUUCAAGAUUGUUUGGGUUAUGCUUUUGAAUAUCUCCAUUUAUGCCGUCAAUCCAAAGAACCCAUCAUCAUUCUAAAAUUAGACUUUGAAAAGGCAUUUGAUAAGGUGGAGUACAAGACCAUUACUGCUAUGCUCAAAGCAAAAGGGUUUGGGCCUAGAUGGAUCAAGUGGGUAGAAAAUAUUCUCCGAACUGCAUCUACUUCUAUCCUACUUAAUGGAGUGGCUGGGAAAAAGAUCAUCUGUAAAAGAGGGGUCAGACAAGGGGAUCCUCAUUCACCUCUAUUAUAUGUUAUUACUGCUGAUCUCUUACAAUCUGUUAUUAAUGCUGCUUGGUCAAAUGGGGAAUUAUCACUUCCUAUAAAUCAUGCAUAUGGGCAAGAUUAUCCAAUCAUUCAAUAUGUUGAUGAUACUCUAUUGAUUAUGCCUGCCAAUGAAAACCAGUUAAAUCAUCUCAAAUACCUUCUGAAUCUGUUUAGUCUGUCCACUGGUCUCUUUGUUAAUUUUAGCAAAUCCUUAAUGAUUCCCAUCAAUGUUAAUCAUCAAGAGGUCACCAGACUUGCCACAGUAUUUGGAUGUAAAGUUGAAAGCCUUCCUUUCACCUAUCUAGGUCUACCCAUGGGCACCACAAAGCCAACAGUACAGGAUCUCAUCCCUGCCAUAUCCAGAAUUGACAAAAGAUUAUCUGGGGUUGCUAGAUUCAUGAAUUAUUCUGGCAGACUAACUUACAUCAAUUCUGUUGUUUCUUCGAUGCCAAUAUUUGCCAUGUGCUCUCUCAAAGUACAUAUUACCAUUCUGGAUCAUGUUGAUAAAUCAAGCAGAAAUUUCUUAUGGUAUGUAAAUGAUAUUAACAAAGGAGGCAAAUGUUUGGCAAACUGGCAGAUGAUAUGCAAGCCAAAAAAUCAAGGGGGUCUUGGUGUUUUGAAUCUGAGAGAACAAAACAAAGCUUUGCUUAUUAAGCAUCUUUACAAAUUUUACAACAAGAUGGAUGUACCCUGGGUUGAACUAAUCUGGGAGGCUCACUAUCAGAAUAAUGAGGUCCCUCAUGCCAACAGAAGCAAAGGAUCUUUCUGGUGGAGAGAUUGA